UAGGGAAUAUUGGGCAAUGGACGCAAGUCUGACCCAGCCAUGCCGCGUGCAGGAAGACGGCCCUCUGGGUUGUAAACUGCUUUUAUCAGGGAAGAAAAUCACUCUUGCGAGGGUGCAUGACGGUACCUGAGGAAUAAGCACCGGCUAACUCCGUGCCAGCAGCCGCGGUAAUACGGAGGGUGCAAGCGUUGUCCGGAUUUAUUGGGUUUAAAGGGUGCGUAGGUGGCCUCUUAAGUCAGCUUUGAAAGCUGGUCGCUUAACGAUCAGGGGUGGGUUGAUACUGGGGGGCUUGGAUCAGGUGGCGGUUUCUGGAACGGGUCGUGUAGCGGUGAAAUGCAUAGAUAUGACCCAGAACUCCGAUUGCGAAGGCAGGAGGCUACGCCUGGAUUGACACUGAGGCACGAGAGCAUGGGGAGCAAACAG
rnacentral:rRNA from 1 species